rnacentral:rRNA from 1 species
GACGAACGCUGGCGGCGCGCUUAACACAUGCAAGUCGAACGGAAAGGCCCUGCUUUUGUGGGGUGCUCGAGUGGCGAACGGGUGAGUAACACGUGAGUAACCUGCCCUUGACUUUGGGAUAACUUCAGGAAACUGGGGCUAAUACCGGAUAGGAGCUCCUGCUGCAUGGUGGGGGUUGGAAAGUUUCGGCGGUUGGGGAUGGACUCGCGGCUUAUCAGCUUGUUGGUGGGGUAGUGGCUUUCCAAGGCUUUGACGGGUAGCCGGCCUGAGAGGGUUACCGGCCACAUUGGGACUGAGAUACGGCCCAGACUCCUACGGGAGGCAGCAGUGGGGAAUAUUGCACAAUGGGCGGAAGCCUGAUGCAGCAACGCCGCGUGCGGGAUGACGGCCUUCGGGUUGUAAACCGCUUUCGCCUGUGACGAAGCGUGAGUGACGGUAAUGGGUAAAGAAGCACCGGCUAACUACGUG